UAAUUAUUGAGAGUUUGAUCCUGGCUCAGGACGAACGCUGGCGGUAUGCUUAACACAUGCAAGUCGAACGAGAAGAUCAGUUAAGAACCUUCGGGGGAAAAAGUGAUUGGAAAGUGGCGAACGGGUGAGUAACGCGUGGGUAACCUGCCCUAUGGAAAGGAAUAGCCUCGG
rnacentral:rRNA from 1 species